GGCGAUCCGUUGGAUACCGACCGAGAUAUAGAAAAAAUUUGGUGCAAAAAUGAGGAAAAUUUUACAUUUUCUCAAACAGGGUAAGGAACUUGGUUUCUCGCAUAACUUCUGGCACAGACAUCUGAGAGCGUGGCCGUCCAAGAAGAAAAUGUAGCCAUUGGUGCCAUCUAUCGACCACAGGUUAAAGAUUGGCGAUCCGUUGGAUACCGAACGAGUUAUAGACAAAACUUGGGGCAAAAAUGAGCCUUAGUAAAUUUUUAUUUUUUUGAUUUUUUUAUUAUUUUUCACUCUUUUUUUUAUUUAAAGCAUUAUUUGAGUGAAAAGAAACACAUUGCAACCUAUUGGCAUUAAAAUAAAUCAAUUUCAUUUUUUUUGCAAAAUUUCUCAAAAAAAACGUAAGGGGUAAGCCUUAUGAAAUUUUCGAGUGAAAAAUUUUUUUGAAAUUUUUUUCUGAUUUUUUAUUCUUUUUUUAAUUUAAAGCAUUAUAUGAGUGAAAAGAAACUUAUUGCAACAAAUUUGCAAUAAAAUAUAUCACAUUUGAAAAUUUUGCUGAAUUGCUCAAAAAUGAGGAAAAUUUUACAUUUUAUCAAACAGGGUAAGGAACUUGCUUUUUCGAAUAACUUCUGGCACAGACAUCUGAGGGCAUGGCCGUCCAAGAAGAAAAUGUAGCCAUUGGUGCCAUCUAUCGACCACAGGUUAAAGAUUGGCGAUCCGUUGGAUACCGACCGAGUUAUAGCCAAAACUUGGCGCAAAAAUGAGGAAAAUUUUACAUUUUAUCAAACAGGGUAAGGAACUUGGUUUCUCGAAUAACUGCUGGCACAGACAUCUGAGGGCAUGGCCGUCCAAGAAGAAAAUGUAGCCAUUGGUGCCAUCUAUCGACCACAGGUUAAAGAUUGGCGAUCCGUUGGAUACCGACCGAGUUAUAGCCAAAACUUGGCGCAAAAAUGAGGAAAAUUUUACAUUUUAUCAAACAGGGUAAGGAACUUGGUUUCUCGAAUAACUGCUGGCACAGACAUCUGAGGGCAUGGCCGUCCAAGAAGAAAAUGUAGCCAUUGGUGCCAUCUAUCGAUCACAGGUUAAAGAUUGGCGAUUCGUUGGAUACCGACCGAGUUAUAGCCAAAACUUGGCGCAAAAAUGAGGAAAAUUUUACAUUUUAUCAAACAGGGUAAGGAACUUGGUUUCUCGAAUAACUGCUGGCACAGACAUCUGAGGGCAUGGCCGUCCAAGAAGAAAAUGUAGCCAUUGGUGCCAUCUAUCGAUCACAGGUUAAAGAUUGGCGAUCCGUUGGAUACCGACCGAGUUAUAGCCAAAACUUGGCGCAAAAAUGAGGAAAAUUUUACAUUUUAUCAAACAGGGUAAGGAACUUGGUUUCUCGAAUAACUGCUGGCACAGACAUCUGAGGGCAUGGCCGUCCAAGAAGAAAAUGUAGCCAUUGGUGCCAUCUAUCGACCACAGGUUAAAGAUUGGCGAUCCGUUGGAUACCGACCGAGUUAUAGCCAAAACUUGGCGCAAAAAUGAGGAAAAUUUUACAUUUUAUCAAACAGGGUAAGGAACUUGGUUUCUCGAAUAACUGCUGGCACAGACAUCUGAGGGCAUGGCCGUCCAAGAAGAAAAUGUAGCCAUUGGUGCCAUCUAUCGAUCACAGGUUGAAGAUUGGCGAUCCGUUGGAUACCGACCGAGUUAUAGCCAAAACUUGGUGCAAAAAUGAGGAAAAUGUUACAUUUUAUCAAACAGGGUAAGGAACUUGGUUUCUCGAAUAACUUCUGGCACAGACAUCUGAGGGCAUGGCCGUCCAAGAAGAAAAUGUAGCCAUUGGUGCCAUCUAUCGACCACAGGUUAAAGAUUGGCGAUCCGUUGGAUACCGACCGAGUUAUAGCCAAAAUUUGGUGCAAAAAUGAGGAAAAUUUUACAUUUUCUCAAACAGGGUAAGGAACUUGGUUUCUCGAAUAACUUCUGGCACAGACAUCUGAGGGCAUGGCCGUCCAAGAAGAAAAUGUAGCCAUUGGUGCCAUCUAUCGACCACAGGUUAAAGAUUGGCGAUCCGUUGGAUACCGACCGAGUUAUAGACAAAACUUGGGGCAAAAAUGAGCCUUAGUAAAUUUUUAUUUUUUUGAAUAUUUUGAUUUUUUUAUUAUUUUUCACUCUUUUUUUUAUUUAAAGCAUUAUUUGAGUGAAAAGAAACACAUUGCAACCUAUUGGCAUUAAAAUAAAUCAAUUUCAUUUUUUUUGCAAAAUUUCUCAAAAAAAACGUAAGGGGUAAGCCUUAUGAAAUUUUCGAGUGAAAAAUUUUUUUGAAAUUUUUUUCUGAUUUUUUAUUCUUUUUUUAAUUUAAAGCAUUAUAUGAGUGAAAAGAAACUUAUUGCAACAAAUUUGCAAUAAAAUAUAUCACAUUUGAAAAUUUUGCUGAAUUGCUCAAAAAUGAGGAAAAUUUUACAUUUUAUCAAACAGGGUAAGGAACUUGCUUUUUCGAAUAACUUCUGGCACAGACAUCUGAGGGCAAAGCCGUCCAAGAAGAAAAUGUAGCCAUUGGUGCCAUCUAUCGUCCACAGGUUGAAGAUUGGCGAUCCGUUGGAUACCGACCGAGUUAUAGGCAAAACUUGGUGCAAAAAUGAGGAAAAUUUUACAUUUUAUCAAACAGGGUAAGGAACUUGGUUUCUCGAAUAACUUCUGGCACAGACAUCUGAGGGCAUGGCCGUCCAAGAAGAAAAUGUAGCCAUUGGUGCCAUCUAUCGACCACAGGUUAAAGAUUGGCGAUCCGUUGGAUUCCGACCGAGUUAUAGCCAAAAUUUGGUGCAAAAAUGAGUCUUAGUAAUUUUUUAUUUUUUUGAAUAUUUUGAUUUUUUUUAUUAUUUUUCACUCUUUUUUUUAUUUAAAGCAUUAUUUGAGUGAAAAGAAACACAUUGCAACCUAUUGGCAUUAAAAUAAAUCAAUUUCAAUUUUUUUGCAAAAUUUCUCAAAAAAACGUAAGGGGUAAGCCUUAUGAAAUUUUCGAGUGAAAAAUUUUUUUGAAAUUUUUUUCUGAUUUUUUAUUCUUUUUUUAAUUUAAAGCAUUAUAUGAUUGAAAAGAAACUUAUUGCAACAAAUUCGCAAUAAAAUAUAUCACAUUUGAAAAUUUUGCUGAAUUGCUCAAAAAUGAGGAAAAUUUUACAUUUUAUCAAACAGGGUAAGGAACUUGUUUUCUCGAAUAACUUCUGGCACAGACAUCUGAGGGCAUGGCCGUCCAAGAAGAAAAUGUAGCCAUUGGUGCCAUCUAUCGACCACAGGUGAAAGAUUGGCGAUCCGUUGGAUACCGACAGAGUUAUAGACAAAACUUGGGGCAAAAAUGAGCCUUAGUAAAUUUUUAUUUUUUUGAAUAUUUUGAUUUUUUUAUUAUUUUUCACUCUUGUUUUUAUUUAAAGCAUUAUUUGAGUGAAAAGAAACACAUUGCAACCUAUUGGCAUUAAAAUAAAUCAAUUUCAAUUUUUUUGCAAAAUUUCUCAAAAAACGUAAGGGGUAAGCCUUAUGAAAUUUUCGAGUGAAAAAUUUUUUUGAAAUUUUUUUCUGAUUUUUUAUUCUUUUUUUAAUUUAAAGCAUUAUAUGAUUGAAAAGAAACUUAUUGCAACAAAUUCGCAAUAAAAUAUAUCACAUUUGAAAAUUUUGCUGAAUUGCUCAAAAAUGAGGAAAAUUUUACAUUUUAUCAAACAGGGUAAGGAACUUGUUUUCUCGAAUAACUUCUGGCACAGACAUCUGAGGGCAUGGCCGUCCAAGAAGAAAAUGUAGCCAUUGGUGCCAUCUAUCGACCACAGGUUAAAGAUUGGCGAUUCGUUGGAUACCGACCGAGUUAUAGCCAAAAUUUGGUGCAAAAAUGAGUCUUAGUAAUUUUUUAUUUUUUUUGAUUUUUUUGAUUUUUUUUAUUAUUUUUCACUCUUUUUUUUAUUUAAAGCAU